rnacentral:rRNA from 1 species
AAUGAACGCUGGCGGCAUGCCUAACACAUGCAAGUCGAACGAGAUCUUCGGAUCUAGUGGCGCACGGGUGAGUAACGCGUGGGAACCUACCUUUUAGUACGGGGACAACGUGUGGAAACGCACGCUAAUACCGCGUACGCCCUAAGGGGGAAAGCAGGGGAUCUUCGGACCUUGCGCUAUCGGAUGAGCCCAAGUCGGAUUAGCUAGUUGGUGGGGUAAAGGCUCACCAAGGCGACGAUCCGUAGCUGGUCUGAGAGGAUGAUCAGCCACAUCGGGACUGAGACACGGCCCGAACUCCUACGGGAGGCAGCAGUUGGGAAUAUUGGACAAUGGGCGCAAGCCUGAUCCAGCCAUGCCGCGUGUGUGAAGAAGGCUCUAGGGUUGUAAAGCACUUUCAGUGGGGAGGAUAAGUUAUCGGUUAAUACCUGGUAAUGCAGACGUUACCCACAGAAGAAGCACCGGCAAACUCCGUG